UACGUAGGGUGCAAGCGUUAAUCGGAAUUACUGAGCGUAAAGCGUGCGCAGGCGGUUGUGCAAGACAGAUGUGAAAUCCCCGGGCUCAACCUGGGAACUGCAUUUGUGACUGCACGGCUGGAGUGCGGCAGAGGGGGAUGGAAUUCCGCGUGUAGCAGUGAAAUGCGUAGAUAUGCGGAGGAACACCGAUGGCGAAGGCAGCCCCCUGGGCUAACACUGACGCUCAUGCACGAAAGCGUGGGGAGCAAACAGG
rnacentral:rRNA from 1 species